rnacentral:rRNA from 1 species
CAGCAGCCGCGGGAAUACGGAGGGGGCUAGCGUUGUUCGGAAUUACUGGGCGUAAAGCGCACGUAGGCGGCUUGGUAAGCUAGAGGUGAAGGCCUGGAGCUCAACUCCAGAAUUGCCUUUAAGACUGCCGAGCUAGCAGGUGAGAGAGGUAAGUGGAAUUCCGAGUGUAGAGGUGAAAUUCGUAGAUAUUCGGAAGAACACCAGUGGCGAAGGCGGCUUACUGGCUCAUACUGGACGCUGAGGUGCGAAAGCGUGGGGAGCAAACAGGAUUAGAUACCCCAGUAGUCCCUGUCUCUUAUAC